ensembl:lncRNA
UCAAGAGUACAAUAAAAUUACAGAUUUAUUCACAAUUCACCGAUAAACAUUAGAGACCAGAAUACAUAUUAUUAGUUUAUUCCAAGUUUACACGUAUACAUCUACCUAAAUCACGACAGAGUGAUGAGAAGGCGUCUCAGCAAACACAAGACCGACGCUCACUCCACCGAGUACGUUUCAAGAUAAAUAAAAGACAAGAACACACAUUUUAUACUUCCAUGAGAGGUAUUUGAAAAAAACAACAAAUUACAACAUUAGCUCUAUGAUCAUUGGCCUUAUUCUACACUUGAUUCCAAAACACAAUCAAUUUACAUGAUACAAUCAGAGAAAUACUGUAUUAUAGGUUAUUAAAGUGCUCAAAUAUAAUUUGUAAUGUAUUCUAAUGGAAUAUUUAUAAUAUAUAUUUUAAUGAACAUAAUGUUUACUCGCCAAGGGGCAAUUCAUGUAACGUUAGAUUGAAUUGUGAGAAAUGCAAUAAAUAGCGGCGCCGAAAGAGGCUUUGAGUCAUUAAGAGAGAGAACAGUCACACCUCCAGUCGCUUGAUGAGCUCUUUACUCAAUACGCAAUGUUAACCCGUCCUCAUGGAAAACCUCUAGUUGAUGCUCAGCGAUAAUAAUAACCACGAAGAGACCCGAACCAUCAGUGAUCUCUCAGUAAUUUCGUAUUUAAAAACUCUAUGCUACAGUCUUUAAAAACAGGUGACAGGUACGCAGUCGGCAUCAUUUGAAUUGACAGCAGGGCUCUGUAACUCAUAGCAUUUGUCUACUGCUUAUCCAUUAUUACACAUUUUCUCUAUUAGUGAGUAUUUAGUAUGUAUGACGACGCUUUCUGUCAGUUCCUUGUAAGUUUUGGUAUUUUAGAGUUUACCAUCGAAUGGUGGAACGUAAAGGAAUGUGGGAUGAUGCUUCUAAUAGCAGAUAUUGGCUUUAGUCAUAUGCUGGUAUUUCAGGGGGUAAAAUUGGAUCAAAAUCACAACUUAAAUCACCAAAAGUGACGAACCAAGGACUUGAGACCAAGUUGAGUCAAAAGAUCAACAAGAAAACGUCCAUUGAUGGUCAUGGUCCAUUGGUGGAGAUGGUCAUGUUCCAUUGGUGGAGAUGGUCAUGGUCCAUUGGUGGAGAUGGUCAUGUUCCAUUGGUGGAGAUGGUCAUGGUCCAUCGGUGGAGAUGGUCAUGGUCCAUUGGUGGAGAUGGUCAUGGUCCAUCGGUGGAGAUGGUCAUGUUCCAUUGGUGGAGAUGGUCAUGGUCCAUCGGUGGAGAUGGUCAUGGUCCAUUGGUGGAGAUGGUCAUGGUCCAUCGGUGGAGAUGGUCAUGGUCCAUUGGUGGAGAUUGGUCACUGAGCGUUGUGAAUGGCUUUUCUCACUUUGAGUAUUUAUAUUUAUCUAGCUGCUCGACUCCAACACUUUCAUCUGGACAUUUUCCUACAGUUACAACCAGUAGAAUUUUAUUCUGGGAGGCGGAUUUUACAGCUUUCAAGACUUUUGGUCGUUGUAAACAAGUAUGUGUAUGAAAACAUCGUCUUCUCAGGCAGCGUAUUGCGCCUUUUCUCUUUGGUAUCAGAUAGAACGAUGUCACCAAACCUGCAAUCUAUGAGUUUAAAAUGUAUUGUGGAAUGAUUCAUUGAAUGGCAGUUUAAAUGCCCUCACCUGUAAAUAUAAUUACCUGUUUCGGGCCGUAUACACACAUGACCAAAUAUCCAAAUAUCGCAAACAUUCCGUGAACAAACACAUGAAAAAAACAACAACAUAGCACUAUAACAUAUUCAUACGCAUGAACAGGAUUAGUUCACAAUUAGAAUGUAUUUCUGAUCGUUGUAAACAUUGUGACUUGUAUAUACACAUAAAACAGCAGCAUAUCACUGAACCACCUGUACAAAUCUAACUCCGGCUUUCCCUUCAUAUCCACUAUGAGUUCCAGCCAAAUAGGAUUUUUGUGGAAUGCUCAUGUCGUUGACAUUUCCCUGGAAUAUUUACAUUUUCUGCACCGCGUGUGUGUGUGUUUUUAAACCGAGUGCCGUCCUUUGGAAUCUCUGUGGGAAGAUACGAUACCGUUUCUGUGACACGUCCAUCAACACAUUCCUCAACUAACGCUGAACGCACAGACGCCGUCUCCAAAGACAUAUUCCAGCUUUGGCAUCUCGCUCUACCGGAAAAUUGGAGUAUGGAACAUUCGUUUGAACUGAUUUGAGAUCUUAAUUAAAGAGAUGAAUACUGAGGGGUUGGUUUUAAACAGCGGAAACUGUACAACAUUUUGAGAAAGAAAUAAGACGGAAGAGCACAGCCUUGUUACGUAGCAUAAUCCUCAGAGUAAAGUAUUCAAAAUAGGUGUGCAACAACGGAUGACUUCAAUUACCUGAGUACCUUCCCGUUCAUACUGAAGUGGACUUAAGUCAACGGCAAAACACGUGAGAUACCGUGCCAGAAAGCGUGAGCAGAUGCCUCCAGGUUGAAGCAUUUAGCAUCUUCUUAAGGCUAAACCCGCACUUAGCCUCCCCACAACCUGCUGAUCAAACCGUCCACCCGUGUGUCACUAAAGAGCAUUCGACCCACCUGGCUUUACAGAGGCGAUUAAGGCAACUACUGCGACUAAACACCACCCCCCCUCACCACCC